UUCAGUUCGGAUGGCCCCUUAAAGACCCAGACAGGGGACGCCUCUGGUUUCAGCAGCUCACUCCGCUGAGUUAUUGAUUGCAGGCAGCAACAAUCCCUCCGGGUGAUUUGUGUGGAAAGUGAAUCCGCGCUGGCUGGGCGUUCACAGAGGCGCAACAGCCGCAACGCCAUCCAAUUAUUGCCAGUCGUCCCCUCCAACACCGCUCUCCACCUAUAUACUCCUUUCUCUGCCCAUCGCCACUUCCCCCCACCCACUUUUCUCAGAGCGGACCGACCUACCUACUCCUUCUCAGCCCGUCUCCGCUUCCCCCCACCCACUUUCCUCAGAGCGGACGGAGCCGAGGGGGCGGGGGCUCCCUCCCGGGAGCGUUUCUAGAGCUCGGAGGCAGCUAGUAGGGGUUUCAUUGUCCACAUGUUUAAAGUCUAAUAGAAAAAUAUAUCACUGGAUGUGAAGUUGGGGGACAGAUCCAAGUGUACAUCUACAUCUUCACAUCGGUGACCUUGGGGUGACAUUUGGCCCACAGACAGUUGACAGCUGUCAGUCAGGUGGCUGGUCAACGAGGAGAUACAUUUAAAGCUGCCAAAGGCACCACUUUCAGAUAAAAACAUAGACCUGAAUGGCAUCAUCCAGUAUCCAAGGAAACCAUGAGGAAGAAUAGGAUGGUAAGAAGGCAUAUAGAAGGGAUGCCAGUGGUCAAGAGAGCCUUUCUGGAAGAAGUGUUAACCGAACUUGAGGACGUCAAGAACUCGUCUAGAGAUCAAUGGAUAGAGGAGAUGUAGCUGAGAUGAUAGUGUAUAUACAGUCAUCCAAUUCUGCCCCCACAAUGUCUGCCAUAUUUUGUUAUAACUUUAAAAUAGGAACAGCAGUAAGACACCAAGUGAUAAGAGACAAUCUGAUUUUCUGGAUCUCACCUACUUUAAAUUCUGCCCUUUAAAAAAUUAUGUUCGGAUAUUUGCUAGUUCAUCUUAUUUAUAAUUUUGAGAAAUAUUAUCACUCGUAACUCAUUGCAACAGCUGUGUUGUUCUUUUAGGGAUAAAUCAGUUUCUUUUCAAGAAAUACUUAGGAUGGUUUACAAACAAUUUGCUAUUACUUUUAUUAUUAUUUGUGCUAGUAUGAAGAAUCCUUAGGAGAUCUUUGAAAAAUUAUUUUCAUCUAGAGAUAACAGUGUAGAAGAAUAAAUUGCUUGGCAAAGCGUUUGAAGCAUGUGGGCAGAGGUACAAGUAUUUACUGCAUUUGCAAGUUCCGUUAUGACUCUAUAAAAUGCAGCAUCGUUUGUCAGUAAAUCAAAGCUUGUACAAGUGGCAAUUGUAAAUGCAGUUGGUUGCAAUAUCAAGAGAAUGGGGAUUAAGAGUGUAACUGAAAUUCCUUUUAUGAUAAAUUAUCUAGCUCCUGGCUACCGUGUAUGAGCUCUAUUAACUGCCUAUAAAUUGUUCAUCAUAAAA